rnacentral:lncRNA from 1 species
CCAAGAUUAGAUCACAUGUUCUUGAAAUGCCUCGUCACGUCAGAGCAGACUGUAUCCGAGUGGACGGUUUACGAGACAAGCCUUGUCAUGGAUGGACACACACUGACUGAAAUUUCCGCCUUUUGCUACAUAACAGAGAACUCGACGAAGACAUCAGAGUACGUUGCAUUGCUCGGUCACAUCUCAAUCAAAGAUCAUCAUGUUCAGCUCCUCCAGCAAAACCUCGUUUCCUUACCUCCAGCGACAUCAUGGGUAAUGGAGGCUCAUAACUUAGAGCUUGUACUGGGUAAAUCCGGUUCUAGGAUCCUUAAGGUUAAGCUAGAAUGGAGACAGACACAGCUUGAAGACUCUGUUCUCCCAGUGUACAAUGUGUAUGCAGAGAGUGUGAAGUCAACUGAUGUACUAAGAUCAAGGAAGGUUUUGGAGAAACCAAGAAGCGAGAGAGUGUUCCUAGGAGUGUCUCACGUACCAGCCUAUUACGUUUCGGAGCUGGUGGUAGAUUCUGACGUGAAAGGAGUCAGCUUCGUGGUUCAACCGUGUGGUGAAGAUGGUUCAUGGAGUAAGCUGGAUGUUUCCCCUAACCAUCUUGUUGAACUAGAAGGUCUCUCGUAGAUUGCUUGAAACUGUGAAACAAUAAAUCUAUCUUAUUAAAGUAGAAAAAAACAUAGAUAGCAACAAAAAAUGAAUAUAAUACUGUUUGUAAACAUGAAUAAAUAUAUUCAAAAAAAAAAGGGUUUAUGUUAUUAAAAAAAAUGAAAGUCUAAUUAUAUUAUAAGAAACUAUAUACUUGGUUCAGCUCUAAAAUAUACCAAAAAUGGUCUAAUGUAAUUAGGUAAAAAUAUCAUCUAAAAUAAUUAUAAAAAAUUAAAAUUUAUAUAUAUAUAUAUAUAUAUAUAUAUAUAUAUAUAUAUAUUUUUUCAAAUCAAAAUAUUAAUUUAAAAUUAAUUUAUAUCAAAAAUUGAUUCAAAAAUAUACGUAUAUUCAAAAUUUGAUUUUUACUAAAAUAUUUUCAAAAAGCCAUUAUUUAAAAAUGUUUUAAAUAUAUAUAAGAAAUAUACAAUACAAAGCUUAAUUUCAAACAAUAACUUAAAUUAUGCUUUUUAUAUUUCACAUUAAGUUUAAAAAUUAUAAUAUAUAUGAUUAUCUAUAUGAUAGUACUAGGACAGUUCAAUAUGGUAAAACCAAACCAAACCGUACUGAACUGAACCGAAAUAGACAAUAUUGUUUGAUUUUGGUAUAAUACCAUAUAAACCGAAUGAAUAUGAUUUUAUAAAUAUCGUAAAAUUUGGAUAUGGUUUGGUUUAUAACCGAUUAAACCGAAUAAACCGAACAAACCCGAUUAAAAGUAGAAACAUGUAAAUAUAUGUCUAUUUUAUAACGACACAUGAAAAUCUAUUUGUUAUAUAAGUUAAAUUUUCGUUAAUAACUAUAUUACUAUAUUUUUAUAGUAAUAAGAAAUCCUAAUUUACAAAACACUAGAACUAUAAUUAAAUAAAAAUAUAUCGAAAACUUUUUAUUUUCUUAGUCUUCUUUUUUUUGAUCUUUUUGCUUUAUUUUAGUAUUGACUAAAGAUGACAAAAAAGUAUUGACUAAAUUGAAGUGAAAGUUAUAAAUUUUGAUGGACAACAAUUAGUAGAAAUUCUUCAAAACUUAUUUCUUAUCUAUAAACGAACAUAGUUUCGUGUUUAAGCGAAGAAGCAAGACUUUGAUGGACACUAAAUAUGGAAGAGUGGAAAAACUUUUCUUUUAUGUUUCUGUUUUAUUUCUUAUUAUUAUUUUUAAAAUUUCAAGCUUUGAUUUUAAUUCUAGAUUUGAUUAUUGUAUUUGAUGGUAGAAGCGUUUUUACUUUUUGUUCAUUUAUUUGAACAUAUAAUAUGUUUUUAGUAAAUGAUUGCGUUGACAACAUGACUCUAAAAUUCAUAUAAUAUGAUCUCAAACUAAAUAAUUAUGUUUUUUUAUAUAAAACCGAAUAAAUAAAAAACUGAUGAUAUAUAAACCGAACCGAAGUAAAUAUGAAUUUAGAAUGGUAGUUAUAUUUUACUAAUCAAAGUACCAAAAAACAAAAAAAAAUGAACCGAAACCGAACUGAUAUCCGGAUUGAGCACCCCUAGAUGGUACAUAUAAAAUACGAUUAAUUAUAUGAUGACACAUAUGUGAUAUAUAAUAGUGACAUGAAUCUAUUUAUCAUGAUAAUUAGUAUAUUUAAUUAAUAAAUCAGUUUUUUAUUUAGUAUAUUUAAUUAAUGAUAUUUAGUUAAAUAUCAUUAACUACUUAUCAUGAUAUUUAGUAUAUUUAAUUAAUAAACAAAUAUUAACAAUAUCUAUCUAUAAUAUCAUAAUUACGUUUUUCUUAUAUCUAGUUUAUAAUUUUAAUGGCUAAUAUGAUAUUAGUUUCUCAGGUUAUUUUUGGAAAUAUGAUCCAAACAAUUAUUACGAUAUUAAAGUUAAGAUUAAAGGUAAAACAUCACUAAAAAUACAUAGUGAAAUAUAAAUUAUAUACUGAUGUUAAAUAUUUUUAUAUAUUUAAUAUUAAACAAUCAUAUUCCUAACGUAAAAUAAAUCCAUCUAUCAGUCUAUAGUAUUAUUUGAAAAGUGAAUUUGCCUAUUUGUUACAUUUUCUAUGAUUAUAAGAUAAUUCAUUAGUUUAUUUAAUAAUAUUAUAUAAGUGAAUUUGCUUACUUGUCAUCUUCUCCAUGAUUAUAGGAUAAUUCAUUAGCUUAAUUAAUAUUAUUAUUUACAUUUAUAUAUAUAUAUAUAUUUAUUUAUCAUGAUAUUUAAGAUUAUUAAUAAACAUUAACCUAUUCUACUGAAAAUAUAUACUAUUAUUUUUUUUAAAUGUAUUUUAAUAUAUAAUUAUCAUGAUAUUUAAGACAUUGAAUUAAUAAAUAGAUAUUAACAAUAUCUACCCGAUAAUAUCAUAAUUAUGUUUAUUUUAUAUUUAGUUUAUGAUUUUAAUGACUAACAUUAUAGUCAGUUUCUUUGAAUUUUACUGAAAGUAUUGAUCCAAAUAGAUGUUAUUAUUAUAUAUAAGUAUACUUAUAAGUAUACUAAUAUAUUUUAAUAAAUCGGUUUUUUCAGUUUAUUUGGUUGGAUCAGUUAAUAUAUUAAACCAUAUAUAUAUGAUGCGAUUUCUUAAAAGUAACAUCUAUUCGGUAUAUUUGUACUACCAAAUCCAAACUUUUUUUAUUUUGGUUCGGUUUUAGAUGGUUCGAUUUAACCAGUUUGAACAUCCCUAAGCUAUUGUUAUUUUGUAAUGUUUUGCGGGUUGCGAUUGUUUAUAAUCCUUUUAGUGCUAAUGGAUUUCUUUUGGGUCCAAAUAUAAUAAGUUUUUAAUCUAUAGAAAAUAUUUUGAUGCAAAAUCUAAUUUGCAUAAAUAAAACUAUGGAAAAAAGCAUAGUUUAAUACAUUGAUUAUCAAUAUGAGUAUUGAAGUUUAUAAUGUCAAUUUAAACUUUUUAUCUAACUUAAUAAUUAGAAUUAAAAAUAAAAAUUGUUAGGUACAUAUGUAUAUCUAACUACAGUAUAUGCAUUAUGCAUGUGUCUUGUAAUUAGUUGUUAGUUUUUUUGGGUCUUCUUUGGUGUGCACAACUUUUUCUUCUUUUCUUUUUGAAAAUUCCUGUAAUUAGUAUAGGAAAUUCAACUAUCCGACACAAAGUGGAUUUUUUGACGUGAUGAAUAUUAUAUUGGAUUUUUCUCUGUGGAUAUUAUUUUUGUGUGGAAUAAAAACAGUCUAUUAUUUUGUGCUAUAAAGAGAUGGCCAUGGAAGCAUGUUUACUCAUCACCAAUUUUCCUUUCUUUUUUGCUCUUUCAUUUUAAAGUUAAAUUAGCUUAAGGAAGAAUGAAAGGAUUUUGGAACUUAACGAGUACCAUUUCUCUUACUCUUUGUACACUUUUCUUAUUCGUCUACAAUUACGAGGACGUGUAUGCAGUUCCUACUACGCACUUGUGUCGUCCGGAACAAAGAGAUGCACUUCUCCAAUUCAAGAACGAGUUUGAGGUUCGAAACUCUUCCUUUCCUUACAAUAGUUCUUUCAGUUAUAAAGUAAAGUCGGAGUCAUGGGCGAAUAACACCGAGUGCUGUAACUGGAAGGGUAUCACUUGCGACCCCAAGUCCGGUGAAGUGAUAGAGCUAGACCUUAGUUCUAGGAACCUAGGUGGCCAGUUACAUUCCGUUAGCAGUCUUCAAACCCUUAAUUAUCUAACCACUCUAGACCUUUCAGGUAAUGAUUUCAGUGGUCACAUUCCUUCUUCGAUAGGAGACCUUUCUAAUCUCACCUUUCUUGAUCUUUCUGAUAAUCGUUUUUCGGGUCAGAUUCCAUCUGUGAUUGGAAACCUUUCUCAUCUCACCCAUCUUGAUCUUUCUGUUAAUCAUCUUUCGGGUCAGAUUCCAUCUGUGAUUGGAAGUCUUUCUCAUCUCACCCAUCUUGUCUUUCAAUCUAAUCAAAUUUCAGGUCAAAUUCCCAUUGCACUACUGAAUUUGACAGAGUUGUCAACUUUACUACUAGGCAAAAAUCAGUUCACAGGCAGAAUUCCUCAUAACAUCACUUCAUUAUCCAAGUUGAGCUCUUUUGAUGGAAGUACUAACUCUUUCACUGGAGCCCUGCCUUCUUCUCUCUUCACCCUUCCUUCUAUGGAUACUGUUCAUUUGUCUGAUAAUCAACUCAACGGUAUUCUUGACCUUGGGAAUAUAUCUUCACCACCUAAGCUACGAGUGUUACACCUUGGCAACAACAACUUGACAGGGCCAAUUUCGAGCACGAUAUCCAAACUUAUCAACCUUGGCGUACUUGACCUUUCCCACUACAAGAUCCAAGGUCCAAUUGACUUACGUAUCUUCUCCCAUCUCAAGAAGCUCCGACAUCUUGACAUAUCUUAUUUGAGCACGACCACUAAGAUUGACUUGAAUGAUAUCUUGUCCUUGUCCUGUUUUAAGAGGCUCGAUGGGUUGGUCCUCUCAGGAAACCAUGUUUCAGUGACAAACAAGAGUCCAGUUUCAGAUCCCGCUUCGCAAUUGCUGACUGAUUUGUACUUGUCAGGUUGCGGUAUCACAGAAUUUCCCGAGUUUAUAAGACCACAAAAUUUGCAGCGCCUAGACCUUUCCAACAAUAAAAUCAAAGGGAAAGUUCCUGGUUCGUUAUGGACACUAACGUAUCUGUAUUACCUGAAUCUUUCCAACAACAGUUUCACCGGAUUCGAAAACGCAACAACACAUGGGCUAAAAUUUCGGAUACCUAUGUUCUUGUUUGCCUCCGACAACAACUUCACAGGAAAGAUCCCCUCUUUCAUAUGCGAUUUGUAUGUAUCCAUGCUCGACUUAUCGAACAACAACUUCAGUGGUUUAAUCCCUCGUUGUAUAAAUUUCAAGGAUUUUCUUUUUCAUCUAAACCUUCGUCAAAAUCGUCUGCAUGGAGGUCUUCCGGAGACUAUAUUUGAAAACUUAAGAACGCUUGACGUCGGUCAUAACCAACUGACGGGAAAACUUCCAAGAUCUUUGAUCCAUUUCUCUAGUCUUGAAGUUUUGAACGUGGAAAGCAACACUAUCAAUGAUACGUUUCCGUUCUGGUUGAGUUCUCUACCACAGCUAAAAGUUCUUGUGUUACGCUCUAAUGCCUUCCAUGGACCAAUGCAUACAACUUCGUUCCCUAAGUUGCAAAUCAUAGACAUAUCGCACAAUCACUUCAAUGGAGCUUUGCCAUCAAACUACUUUGUGAAGUGGAGUGCUAUGUCAUCACUUGGGUCAAUUUAUUAUCAGCCGGAUGAAAAGUACAUGGGAAAUUCCUAUUAUCAUGAUUCAGUGGUGUUGAUGAAUAAAGGUUUAGAGAUGGAGCUACUACGUAUCCUAAAAAUCUUCAGAGCACUUGACUUUUCAGGAAACAAAUUUGAAGGAGAGAUCCCAAGCUCCAUUGGUCUAUUGAAAGAGCUCCAUGUGCUCAACUUGUCCAACAAUGCUUUCACCGGCCUCAUUCCUUCAUCUAUGGGAAACCUGACGGCUCUUGAGUCACUGGACCUUUCCCAAAACCAGCUUUCAGGAGAAAUUCCUCAAGAGCUAGAGGAACUCUCCUUCCUUUCCUACAUGAACUUCUCUCACAACCAGCUUGUCGGUCUAGUACCAGGCGGCACUCAGUUUCGAAGGCAGAACUGCACUUCCUUUGACGGUAAUCCGGGACUUUCUGGCCCUUCUCUUGACGAAAUUUGCAGAAAUAUUCACAUGUCAACACCGCAUGAAACGUUGGAGUCAGAGGAAGAAGAAGAGGUGCUGAGUUGGAUAGCAGUUGUAAUAGGCGUCAUACCUGGUUUUGCCUUUGGAUGGGUGAUUGGUUACAUACUUUUUUCCUACAAACCAGAGUGGUUCAUGAACCCUUUUGUCCGAAGCAAACCCAGACGAAGCAGCAACACAACUCAUUAAAGAGGUAAUAUUCUAGAGUUUUAAGUCAACUUGUUAGCAAACAUUUGAAGAAACAAAAAUAUUAUAGUCAAAUCUCCUGAAUAAACGUCCUUGUUUUGUUUGUAUAGGUCUUUUAUAACCUACCUGAAGAAUCUGAAAGAAGAAAAUUCAAAGCAACCACUAUGUUUAUCUGUAUCAAUUAAGAUUUGGGGUAUCAUCUCCAGUUUAGCUUGGUGUUUUUCUCAUUACUCUGUUUUUACUUUUUUACAAGCAAACUUCUUUGUUUCUCUGUUAUUGUUUUCGGUUUAAGUUGGUGUGUAUUUUCUCUACUUCUCUGUUUCUCUGUAAUUGAACAACUAUGUUUAUUAAGCUGAAAAUUACAAGCACAGUCAAAGAUGUGUAUUUUCAGCUCUUAUGUAUCUAAACAUUGUUGCAUCUGUGUGUCUUAAAUCUCUGUGUACCAGUAAAAGCCCAGCACUCGUGGGUAGGAUGAAGGAUAAAUGAAAUCGGAUUUUAAGGCUGAUAUAAAUAUGGGUCUAAGAGUUUGUAAGAUUAUUCAUUCACACAAUAAUAAGAAACACUAAACGGAUAUUUGCCUCAAUACAUUUUAUUCUCUAUUGUCUUCUUGCUUAAUUCGUGACUGUUCACACAAACAUCAACUGUAUAGACGUGAGAUGAGCAAUAAACAGAUGAUCCAGAUCAACGCUGCGAUGAGAUGCUUGCCACUAAGGUGUCUGCUCAAAUGUAUGCAGAGGGUUUGGCAGAGAUUGCUACUUUUCUAGGUUUUUAUGGAUGGCUGGUGAGUUUUGUGAUUAUGGUUGAUGUUUGUUUUCAUUGUCUCAUUUCAUUAAUCUAUAUAUGAUAGGUUAAUAUUGCAGUGUAUAUGAUAGAGAAACAAUGUAUCAGCUGCUAUUUUCGCUCCCGGAUGGGUAUAUGAGACUGCUCAACCACCUAAUUUUCAUACAGCUCAGAAUAAGUAAUACUCUUUUUUGCCUGUUUCAUUGUAAAAAAAUUGUCAUCUCUUUGUUAUUAACGUUCAUGCGUUUUUUCUUCGGAUGGUGGUCACUUGUAGAGAAGUCAUGGGGAAUAGUCCAAACAUAUCCACAAGUCUUGCCUUUCUACUCAGAUUUCAAUCAAGUUAACUGAGAUUGAUUUUGUCUUUCUUCCUAUCUUGUUACAAUAACACAAGUGUACCUAUGAUUUCUGUUCAGUUAUGCUCUGAAGAUCUCUUUUCUUGAGGGUCGCCAGAUAUCUUAUGCUCCAUGGUACAACAUAUCUUGCCAAAGUCUCCAGGUUCAACCCUCUUAUAGUCAUUCAUUGUACAUAUAAUAUUAUCUUCUCAUCUGAUUGUUGUCUUUGUUGUGUUAUUCACGUCAGCCACUCCUAGAGUUCAAGGAAGACAACACUGAUAUCAUUCAGGUCACUGUUGAGUGAGUUCUGGCCCUGAAACUAAAAAAUGUUUUUAACUUCUUGUUGAUUAAGAUACAUUUAUUCGCAAAUGUAUAACGGCAAGCACAUGACUUUGUUUAGUGCUGGAGAGGCAUCUUAUAACGGAGGAGGGAAUAUUGUAUUUAACGGAAGACUCGACGGAGAUGUGAAUUUCACAGCGAGGCUCUUUAAACCUCUUCUUCACCUUUCUUCUUCCCCCAUCACAGUCUCCUACUCCGUAAGUCCCUCUACUUUUAGAUACAUCACAUUAUUUGAUCUUCUUGUUUCUCUACUAACGGAGGAUCUCGGAUUUGGUGCAGGUGAAAUCAGAUGAGACUUCUAAACUUGGACUCCUGCUUAGUCCACAAGAACUAAUCCCUAGAUUCAGGUAGAUCACAUGUUCUUCAAGAUUAAUUUCACAUCCUUUCGGUCAAGAUCCAUUUGCACUUUUUCGUUUAUGAUCAUUGGUCACGACCGUUUUGUAUAUUUUCGGUCAAAAUACAUUCACAUCAUUUCAGUCACAAAACGUUUAUACUCCUUGGAUCGUGAUGUGUUUGUACCUCUUGGAUCACAACACGUUCAUACCUCUUAGAUUAUAAUGCGUUCAUAUCUCUUAAAUCACAACACAUUUGUACCUCUUCGUUUAUGACACCACGUAAAUAUUUAUCAUUUUUUAAUCAUUGUUAAUAUGAAAAUUGUGUCUCUUAAAAGCUUUUUAUGAAAAGUUAUUUUUAUUAGUAUUGAAAUGAAAUUUAUGUCUUUUUGUUUUACUUUAUUCAUAUAUAUGAAUAGUCACAUCUUUCAAUUUAAAGGUGGUUAUUUUGAAAUGAUACUUAUAUGAACAGUAACAACUUUUUAAUUUAAAUAGUCACAUCUUUUCAAAUUUAAAUUUAAUUAUUUUGAAAUUAUAGAAAUAUGAAUAGUCACAACUUUUCAUUAAAAUAAUUACAUAUUUUACAAUUAAAUUAUAACUAAUGCACAACUCUUGAAAUAAAUAAAGAAAAGACACAACUUUAACAAGAAAUAAAAUUCCUAUAAAAAUACACAACUUUUCAACAUUGUUUGGAUUUUUCAUGUAAAACAUUUAAGAGAUGCAACUUUAUGCAUAAAACUUAAGAGAUUCAAAUUUUCAUAUUAAUCAAUACACUGAUUUUUAGAAAUAAAACAAUUGCAAAUAUUUAUAAAAUAUUAAUAAAUAGAUAUGAGCAAAAUAAAAAUGAAAAGACAUAAUUUUUCAUCUCAAUACUAAUAAAUACAACUUUUCAUAUAAAAAAUUAAAAGAUGCAACUUUCAUAUAGAUGAAUAGUCAAAUUUUUUCCAGUUUAAAGGUGAUUAUUCUGAAAUGAUACUUAUAUGAAUAGUCAUAAUUUUUCAAUUUAAAUAGUCACAUCUUUUCAAUUUAAAGAUAGUUAUUUUGAAAUAAUACAUAUAUGAAUAGUCACAAUUUUUCAUUUAAAUAAUUACAUCUUUUUAAUUUAAAUACUAAGUAAUACACAACUCUUGAAACCAAAGGACAUAUCUUAAUAUAUAAUGAAAAGACACAAUUUUUAACAAGAAAUAAAAUUCCUAUAAAACACAUCACUUUUCAAUAUGGUUUAGGAUUGCUAUUAUUAGUAGAUUGUUUUUUUUUCUUCACCAUUUUAUUUGAUUAGUGAAAAUUAUGCUUUGAGAAGGCAUGGACAUUGGACUAUUUGUAGAUUUUCAAAAAUUUGUUUGAAGAGUCACAUCUUUUGAAUUAAAAGGUUGUGUCUUUUUGUAAUAAUAAUUAUAUGAAGAGUCACAACUUUUCAAUAUAAAUGGUCACAUUCUUUCAAUAUAAAUAGUUAUUUUAAAAUAAAAAACACAAUUUUUAAUUGUUGAAAAGACACAAUCUUUCAACAUAAGUGGAAUUCACAACUUUUUGAAUUAAUUGAGAUUGCUAUUAUUAGUAGAUAUGGCUCGAUCAUGAGUACAUUUAAUUCACGAAGAAGAGUUGAUUCUUGUGUCAUGACGAAUAUUCUCACAAUUAUAUGACUUCAAGCAAGUUGAUAGUUUUGUUCAUUUUGAUUGAUUCUUAGUAAGAGUUUAUUCUUUUUGUCAUUUUGUACAUAUUUCUCAUUUUGGAAAUCAUGAGGAAUAAACCGAAAUAAAAAUAAGACCGUUCGCCGUUGAGUUUUCUUGAAAAGGUUGAUGUUUGUUUUCUUCUUAUUAAAUAUAAGAGAUUCAUUCUUAUUUUGAAAUUCUAUCAAAAUUAAACUAGUUUAGCAGUUAAAUUAGUUAUUUUUUCAAAGCAAGGAAUGUCAGAACUUUUAAAUAAUAAGUAAAAAAGAUAAAACAUUUACUAUCAAAUCGAAAGACUACAAUAUAUGCAAAUAUGCAUGGGUCUCGUAAUCGUAAACGUUAGUACUUUCGCGUCAAUAUGCGUGGGUCGUUACUAUAUGCAAUAUGCAUGGGUCGUUAGUAUACGUUAGUUUUUUUUUUGUAACAUAAAAACAUUAGUAUACGUUAGUUUAAAUCCAAAUAUAAACCUAAGCAAAAUAAGACUUCAUGAGUUACGUCUUCUUUGGUUUUGACAAUUUUUUUUUUUUUUUUGAAAAUUCAUGUAAUUAGUGUAGGGGACCAAUAUGUGUAGAAAAUUGACUAUCCGACACAAAGAUUUUGCUUUCGACGUGACGAAUAAUGUAUUUUUCUCUGUGGAUUUUCUCUUGUGUGGAGUAAAUACAGAGUCUAUUAUUGUGUAUAUAAAGAAAUGGCCAUGGAAGCAUGUUACUCAUCACCAAUUUCCCUUUUCUUUUUGCUCUUUCAGUUUUUGAUAUUCAAGAAAGUUAAAUAAGCUUAAAGAAGAAUGAAAGGGUUUUGGAACUUAACGAGUACCAUCUCUCUUAUUCUUUCUAUACUUUUUUUAUUCGGCUACAGUUAUGAGGACGUGUCUGCGGUUCCAACUAAGCACUUGUGUCGUCCAGAUCAAAGGGAUGCACUUCUUCAGUUCAAGAACGAGUUUGAGGUUCUAAACUCUUCCUUUACUUAUUAUAAUUGUAUUGAUCGUGGUAUUACGCCUCAUCGGAAGACAGAGUCAUGGGUGAAUAACAGCGACUGCUGUAAUUGGGAGGGUAUCACGUGCAACGUCAAGUCCGGUGAAGUGAUUGAGCUAGAUCUCAGUUGCAGCUACCUAGGUGGCAGGUUUCAUUCCAAUAGCAGUCUUCGAAAACUUCAUUCUCUAACCACUCUAGACCUUUCAGUUAAUGAAUUUAGUGGUCAAAUCAUGUCUUCAGUUGGAAACCUUUCUCAUAUCACCUCUCUCGACCUUUCACUUAAUCAGUUCAGCGAGUUCAUUCUUUCUUCGAUAGUAGACCUUUCUUAUCUCACUUUUCUCGAUCUUUCAUUUAAUAGUUUAUCGGGUGAGAUUCCAUCUUCGAUUGGAAAUCUUUCUCAUCUCACCUAUCUUAACCUUAAUUUGAAUCAAAUUUCGGGUAAGAUUCCAUUUUCUUUUGGAAAUCUUUAUAACCUCACUUAUCUUGACCUUUCUGGGAACAAUAUUGUUGGAGAAAUCCCAUCUUCUUUUGGAAACCUAAACCAGUUGACCACCUUAGAUGUUAGUCUCAAUAAGCUCAAUGGAAGCUUUUCCAUUGCACUACUGAAUUUGACAAAGUUGUCAUCUUUAAAACUCUAUGACAAUCAGUUCACAGGAACAAUUCCUCAUAACAUCACUUCACUAUCCAAAUUGACGACCUUUUAUGCAAGUAACAACGCUUUCACUGGAACCCUGCCUUCUUCUCUCUUCACCAUUCCUUCUAUUGAAGAUGUUAGAUUGUCUGAUAACCGAUUGACGAACUUGACCUUUCCCAUUACAAGACACAAGGUCCAGUUGACUUUAGCAUCUUCUCAUAUCUCAAGUGGCUAUAUAUUCUUGACCUAUCCUAUUUGAACACAACCACUGCCAUUGACUUGAAUGAUUUCUUGUCAUAUUUUAAGAGUCUCGGUGUGUUGGAUCUCUCAGGCAACCAUGUUUCAGCCACAAACAAGAGUACAAUUUCAGAUCCUUCUUCUUUGUAUCAGUUGCACUUGUCAGGCUGCGGUAUCACCGAGCUCCCGGAGUUUGUAAGAUUGCAAAAUAUGGAGAAGGUAGACAUUUCUAACAAUAAAAUCAAAGGAAAAGUGCCUGGCUGGUUAUGGAAGCUACCAAAUCUGUCUUACCUCGAUAUUUCCACCAACAAUUUCACCGGCUUCGAAAAUGCAACUAAACAUGGGCUAUCUUUAAUGACCUUGUUAGCCUCCAACAACAAUUUCAGUGGAAAGAUUCCCUCUUUCAUAUGUGAUUUGGGCUCUGUAGAAACUCUUGAUUUAUCAAACAACAACUUCAAUGGUUCAAUCCCUCGUUGUCUGGGUAAUCUCAACUAUACUCUUACAGAUCUAAACCUUGGUAAAAAUCGUCUCCAUGGAGGUCUUCCAGGGAAUAUAUUUGAAAGCUUAAGAGCGCUUGACGUCGGUCAUAACCAACUUACGGGAAAACUUCCAAUGUCUUUGAUCAAUUUCUCUAGUCUUGAAGUUCUGAACGUGGAAAGCAACAUUAUCAAUGAUACGUUUCCAAUCUGGUUGAGUUCUCUACCAGAGCUCAAUAUUCUUGUAUUACGCUCCAAUGCCUUCCACGGACCGAUACAUCAAACUUCCUUCCCUAAGUUGAAAAUCAUCGACAUAUCACACAAUCACUUCAAUGGAGCUUUGCCAUCAGACUUCUUUGUGAAGUGGAGUGCUAUGUCAUCACUUGGGACAGUUUAUGAUCAGCCGGAUGAAAUGUACAUGGGAUAUUACUAUUACCAUGAUUCAAUGGUGUUGAUGAAUAAAGGUUUAGGGAUGGAAUUUCAACGUAUCCUAAAAACUUUGAGAGCACUCGACUUUUCAGGAAACAAAUUUGAAGGAGAGAUCCCAAGGUCUAUCGGUCUAUUAAAAGAGCUUCUUAUGCUUAACUUGUCGAAUAAUGCUUUCACUGGCCACAUCCCUUCAUCUAUGGGAAACCUGACAGCUCUUGAGUCACUGGACGUUUCCCAAAACCAGCUUUCAGGAGAAAUUCCGCAAGAGCUAGGGAGUCUCUCAUUCCUUUCGUACAUGAACUUCUCGCAUAACCAGCUUACAGGUCUAGUACCAGGAGGCACUCAGUUUCAAAGGCUGAACUGCACUUCCUUUGAGGAUAAUCCGGGACUUUCUGGCCCUUCUCUUGACGAAAUUUGCAGAGAUAUUCACACGCCAACACCGCAUGAAACGUUGGAGUCAGAGGAAGAAGAAGAAGAGGAAGAGGUGUUGAGUUGGAUAGCAGCUGUAAUAGGAGUCAUACCUGGUAUUGCCUUUGGAUGGGCGAUUGGAUACAUACUUUUUUCGUACAAACCAGAGUGGUUCAUCAACCCUUUUGCCCGAAACAAGUGCAGAAUCAGCAGCACCACAACUCAUUAAAAAGGUAAUUUUCAAGAGUUUUAAAUCAACUUGUUAGAAAACACUGGAAGAAACAAAAAUAUUAAUAGUGAAAUCACCUGAGUUAACCUUUUCUUUUUUUGGUACAGGUCUUUUAUAAGCUACCUGAGGAAUCUGGAAGAAGAAAUCCAAAGGACCACUAUGUCUAUCCGUAUCAAAUAAGAUUUGGGAUAUCGUUUCUGGUUUAGCUUGGUGUGUUUUUUCUCUAUCUCUAUUUUUUUACGUUUUAGCAAACUUCUUUGUUUCUCUGUAAUUGAACAACAACUAUGCUUCUUACGCUGAAAAUUACAAGCACAGUCAAAGAUGUAUCGUUUUUCCCCCUCUUGUGAAUCUUAACAUCAACUGUUUAGACGUUAGAUGAGCAAUGAACAGAUGAUCCAGAUAAAAGCUAUAAUCAACACAGGGCUUUAGAAAAGGAUGUACAUAUUAUAUAUGGAUAUUUCGAUUGUUCAUAUCAAUGAGACACAUUAAUUCAUAGAAACUAUAGACUUUGCAAAUAUAAUUAUCAAGAUUCCAUUUUGUGUAUAUACGAAGUUCAAAAGGUUUUAAGCUUAUGAUUUUCGAAUGUGACAAUACAAAAUAAUAAAAAAAGUUUGCGUUGAUUUAUCUUGUGAUUGGUAAUAUUCUCAUUGAUAAUGAAUGAUGAGUAGAAGAGGAAGAGAAAUGGCUAGUAAAGGCCUAAAGGGGUCUUGUUUUCUCCAUGUCCACACUCUCUUGUUUCUAAUUCAACCUUUGAUUGUUUGAUUAAAUAUUUAUAAUCUAAAUUAACAAUAACCAAAUAUAUAUAUACUCAUUUAAAAUUGGGAAAAUUGCUAAAAGAGAACAAAAAAACAAGGUUGUUGUCCCUUUAGUAUAAAACCAACAUAAAGUUGUCUCAAUAGUAUAAUUUUUCUCAUAAUCCCAAAACUAACCCUAUAUUUAAUCUAAUUAAACACAAUUUAAAAGUUAAUUUGAAUUUUAAAAAAAAAGUUAAUGGAAAAAAGGUAAAAAACAGUAGAAAGGCAAUCGAAAAAAAAAAGAGGUAUAGAUAUGCAUCAUAGAGAACAAGAGUUUGUGAGAAGAAUCAAAAGAAAAACUAUGGAAAAACCAUAGAUUGAUGAAGAAGAGAAGGAAUAAUCGUUUUUUUUUAAAUUUUUUAAGUAAAAUCGACCAUAACACGUUUUAGAAAGUUAAAAUAUUUCUAAGAGAUUUUUAGAAUAUUUUCUUAACUGAAAUUUCAUUAAUUUUCGCAAAAAAUCAAGUAUUCUUAUCCGUAGAAGGCGACUUCUAAAAGUUUAGAAGAAUGAUAAAAAUUCUGAAUACACUUUCUACUUUGAGUAGACGUAAGAUUACAUUGUAGAAAACACAUUCCUCGAAAUUUAGAAUACUUUAUAAAAGUAGAAGAUGCAUUCGGAAGGAAAGUGGAUACCUUUACGAUUAGUAGAAUGUGCAUUCCUCUUUUUUAGAAAUUUAGUAAAUAGUAAAAUGAACGUUCUAAAAGAAGUAGAUGAACGUGUUUAUUUUAGAAAUCGUUUUCUACUAUACCAUUUUUCAUAGAAGACGCAUUCUACUUUUAGUAGAACGUAUUUUAAAAAUCUUAUUUACCAAAUUUUUGAGCAAAAGAAAAUUACCAGCUUGUGUAUAUGGAUGUUUUAUUAAUUUUUUAUAUUUUUAAUAAUUUUUUUGAUUCAUAAAAUUAUUUAUUUCAUUAGUUUUCAGAAAUACAAAGGGUAAAAAGGAGAAAAACUAGACAAAAUUAGUUUUAUACUAAAAGGACAACAACCUAAUUUUUUUGUUCUCUUUUGGCAAUUUUCCCUUUAAAAUUUGGGUUUAACGAUCAUUAUCCAUUUGAUAAGAAAAUUCCUCUUGGAUCUUUCUUUUUAUAUUUUUCCUGACUGACUUUUUAAUCGAAUCCAAGUCUUGCUUCUCUUUGUUUUGGUGUCCACGAUCUCAAAAAAGAAACAGCCAACUGAUUGGUCACUUUCACAAUCCCUCUGGUACGUUAUCCUUUGAUUUUUCAACAUUAUACUUAAAGCUCAAUACCAAAAUCUCAAAGAUAAGCCACUACAUGAUCAUGAUGUGUGUGACCUACGAGCUUGGACUCGAACCCACGAGCCAAUCAUGUAACUAGCAAUGAAAAGAUCAAGCCAACACAAAUGAUGAAUAGGCCCAUGCCUUGCCCCCAUUCUGUUCCCUUCUUAAUUAAUCUACAAAAACAAAAUCUUCUUCAGAAGAAGAUGCGUGAGCUUCAACACGAUAAAGAUUGAUGCAAAGUCAUAUAAGCAAACAGCCAAAUCAAUAGCUUGGUGGGUUUGGUCUUCCAAAAGUAAAUUAUGGAAGAACAUGAAUGUCUCUGAUGUACAUUGUCCUGGAAAGAGAACUCUGAGACCUGAUUACGCAAAAGACUAAUUGCUGAUAACAAAAAAAGGAGAAAAGAACGCUAUUUGAAACUGCAGGCAUUGAUACAGAAACUAUCAUACAUUAAACACUUGACAAAAGUACAUGUUGAUAUGUCUGUCAGAUUACUACAAGAGUUUCUUUCACCAAUCUGCUUUGCUACCAAUGUACCCUAAAUAAGAUAAGUAAACACAAAAAAAAAAGCAUUACUCUAACUUGAAACCUAGUGAGUAAGAAUAAUAACAGUUUCUCCAAUCUCCAUGAGCUGAGCUCUCAGAUCCAACCAUUGCUCUACCAGAGUAUAGCUUCUCCACAAAACUAAUCUCUACAACUUCUUCCCUGUACAACAACAGCACAAUUCAAGUUUUCAGUAACUCAAUUGAGUAGAUGCUCAAAGUUAUGGUUCCAAAUCAACAAUCUCAAGCCUCACAAGCUUAAAGAUUCAUCUUUACAAGCACAUAAAAAUGAAAACUUUCCUUUCUGCCUUCAACUUAGCCACAUCGUUUAUCAACCUGCCUUUAACUAGACAAGUCGAAAAUAUAACCCUCUGAGCAAUCUAGAAGGUUACGUAUGACGUCCUAUGUUCUGAGCCAAUUCGAAUCUUCGAGCCCUACAUCUUCAAUUCCGUCAAGUUUACGCUAGAUUGCUCUCCAGAGCCUCCUGGUACCACCAUUGUAGUAAUCGAAGUUGCGAGAGCAAAAGCCUUCUCAUGCCUACACUAAAGGUGAUGUAUUGCUCUAUUCAGGGUUGGCUCCUUUAUUCAGAGAAUAUAAAUAUUUUUAAAAUAAAUCUUGAUAAAAUAAUACAAAGCUCUUUUAAAUUUGGAAUAGGGCUAAUAGUAACAAUUCGCUUGCUAUGUUUCAGUUGAGUUUGUUGUUUUCUUGAAGCUGUUUCUGUCCUUUGUAUACUUGUGUGCGAUCUUGUUUGAUAAGUUUAUAGAGUUGGACAUGAAUGUAAUGAUGCUCUUGUAGGCUAAAUCAUCAAGCGUUGAAGCAUCUUUGAAGUAUAAGAAUAUUUUUUGGAUAUGGGACGGUUCUAUAUAGUUUAUGGCUGUGAGGAUUGUAUUUGCCGAAGUUCAAAAGACUUCCCACUCCUUUUAGUUCCCGUCUUUACUUUUCGACUCAAGACUGGCUUACGUUUUCUUCUUGCAAAGAAGGUUCUCUCAGACUUUUCUCUUGGUCUUCUCUCAAGCAAGUACACGAGCUGGUCUACACGGUAAGCUGGUAGUCUGAUAGACCUGUAUCAAUCAAUGAGGAGGCAACUGGGACAUAGUCUGCUUUCUGCAUUCAAGCAUACUAUUAAAUAUGACGAGAGAAAUAUCCACACAUGAACUUAAUAUCGAUUAGGAAAAUCAUUUUAGUGGUCAAGAACGAGUUUGAGGUUCUAGACUCUUCCUUUGCUUAUGAUUGUUAUUUUGAUAUAGUAAAGCUUCAUCCGAAAACGGAGUCAUGGGCGAAUAACAGCGACUGUUGUACUUGGGAGGGUAUCAAGUGCAACGUCAAGUCCGGUGAAGUGAUCGAGCUAGACCUUAGUUGCAGCUACCUAGGUGGCCGGUUUCAUUCCAAUAGCAGUCUUCAAAACCUUCAUUCUCUCACCACCCUAGACCUUUCAGGAAAUCGUUUUAGUGGUCAAAUCAUGUCUUCAAUUAAAAACCUUUCUCAUAUCACCUCUCUGGACCUUUCACUUAAUCAGUUCAGCGAGAACAUUCCUUCUUCGAUAGUAGACCUUUCGUAUCUCACCUAUCUCGAUCUUACAUAUAAUCGUUUUCCUGGUCAGAUUCCAUCUUCUAUUGGAAAUCUUUAUAACCUCACUUAUCUUGACCUUUUUGGGAACGAUAUUGUUGGCGAAAUCCCAUCUUCUUUUGGCAAUCUAAACCAGUUGACCAGCUUAAAUGUUUACUACAAUAAUCUCAAUGGAAGCUUUCCCAUUGCACUACUGAAUAUGAAAGAGUUGUCAUCUUUAAUGCUCAACGGCAAUGAGUUCACAGGCACAAUUCCUCCUAACAUCACUUCACUAUCCAAAUUGACGAAUUUUAUAGCAAGUUACAACGCUUUCACUGGGACCCUGCCUUCUUCUCUCUUCACCAUUCCUUCUAUGGAUCGUGUUGAUAUGUCUGAUAGCCAACUCAACGGUAUUCUUGAGUUUGGGAAUAUAUCUUCACUACCUAAGCUACGAGAGUUAGACAUUGGCCAAAACAACUUGAGAGGGCCAAUCCCGGAAACGAUAUCCAAAUUUACAAACCUUGUCCGACUUGGCCUUUCCAAUUACAAGACACAAGGUCCAGUUGACUUUAGUAUUUUCUCGCAUCUCAAGUGGCUUGAAUAUCUUGACUUAUCCUAUUUGAACAUGACCACUACGAUUGACUUGAAUGAUUUCUUGUCAUAUUAUAAGAGGCUCGAGAGGUUGGUUCUCUCAGGCAACCAUGUUACAGCCACAAACAAGAGUCCAGUUUUAAAUUCCCCUUUGUUGUAUAAGUUGCACUUGUCAGGCUGCGGUAUCACCGAGUUUCCUGAGUUUGUAAGAUCGCAAAAUAAAAUCAAAGGACAAGUGCCUGGCUGGUUAUGGACGCUACCAAAUCUUACUUACCUGAAUCUUUCCAACAACACUUUCACUGGCUUCGAAAACUCAACUACAGUUUCACCUUCAAGGCUAUAUAACAUAAACGUGCUUGCCUCAGACAACAAUUUCACGGGAAAGAUUCCCUCUUUCAUAUGUGAUUUGCCCUAUGUUAACACUCUUGAUUUAUCGAACAACAACUUCAGUGGUUUAAUCCCUCGUUGUCUGGGAAAUCUCAAGUAUUCUCUUGUACUUCUAAACCUUCGUCAGAAUCGUCUUCAUGGAGGUCUUCCAGAAAAUAUAUUUGAAAGCUUAAGAACGCUUGACAUCGGUCAUAACCAACUGACGGGAAAGCUUCCAAGAACUUUGAUUCAUUUUACUUCCAGAGCUAAAAGUUUUUGUAAUACGUACGCUCCAAUGCUUUCCAUGGACCGAUACAUCAAACUUCGUUUCCUAAUAAGUUGCAAAUCAUGGACAUAUCGCACAAUCACUUCAAUGGAGCCUUCCCAUCAGACUACUUUGUGAAGUGGAGUGCUAUGUCAUCGCUUGUGACAAAUAAUGAUCGGCCGGAUGAAAGUUAUUUGCUCAAUUAAAAUUUGGGUUUAACGAACAUCUUCCAAUUUAUAACAAAAUUCCUCUUGGAUCAACCUAUAUUUUAAUUUCUUUGAUUGUCUUUUUAAUUGAAUCCAAGAGACAUCCAACUGAUUGGUUGGUACGUUAUCCUUUGAUUUUUCAACAUUAUACUUUGCAUUUUCUCUCCUUAUUUUCAACAACUUUCUCCCGCAACGUCAGUAAGCUUCUCAGUGAGGUCCUUGAAGAACAUAGACAAGAAACCGAUAACUCGUUGUCUUAUGAGACUGAUGUUCGUCUCAAGGAUCCUGUGUUACGGUUGCAUUGGAGCCAAUAGCUUCUCUGCAGAAGAAGAUGCUUGAGCUUCAACAUGAUAUAGCCAGUUGCUCGCUCUCGACCACUUGGCCAUUCUGGAGUUAACAACAACAAAGCUGCAGUCUACUUUGAUGCCGUUCUCUGAGUUUGAUCACGAGGAGAAGAGAAGCCUCAUGCAACGUUGCUUGUAGCAGCUUUUUUGAUAAUCUUGAGAGCCUAAUAUAGAUGUUUUAUGUAUCCAAUGUUAUAUCCUUUGCUUUUCGUGAAAGCUAUGAAUUGAAGCAUGUAAUUUCCAUGUCGUGGAUUCUUCACUAUGGUUUUUUUUUUCCAUAUAUGCUAUGGUUUUUGUUUAGCGUACGAAACAAGGAAACGAAGAGUGCGAGGAGACCUUCUUCGCGCCUAUUUCUCACGAAGAACUCUCGUGUCUCUACAACCUCUUCUUCACCCUCUCCCGUAAGCUCCUCACUUCAUUCCCUCUCUCCCUCAUCAUGCCUAAAUCCAACGACGGUGACGCCGUCGCAGAAUCCGAGUCGACGACAAGUGGGUCCAAGGGUGUGAAAACGACGCCGGAUUUGCGAUUUGGCAUUGGUAUUUGAUGGAUGUGUUCGUUUACUUCUCUCACUCUCUGGUGUCUCUUCCUCCUCCUUGCUGGACCAAUACAGCUCACAGGCAUGGCGUUAAGGUAAAGAAUGCAUUCUUGUGGAUACAUUAGUUGAUUUGGAUGUGGUUUCAUUAGAUUAUUGGAUUGAUACUUUCUUGUGUGUGUGUGUUAUGGAAACGUUAAUAGGUGUUGGGGACUUUCAUUACGGAAUGGGAUGAAGGUAAAGCUACCUGCAGUGAGAUGAUUGCCACUAAGGAGUCUGCUCAGAUGUAUGCUGAGCGUUUGGCUGAGCUUUCUAAUUCUCUAGGUUUCGAUGGAUGGCUGGUGAGUUUUGUCUUUGUCAUCUUAUUAUUGUUCAUGCUUGUUCUCUCCAGGUGGUGGUCACUUGUUGAGAAGUCAUGGGGAAUAGUCCAAACAUAUCCACAAGUCUUGCCUUUUUACUCUGACUUCAAUCAGGUAAAGUAUACAUCGACUGUCUUGGCUAUGAUUUAUGUUAAGUUAUCUUUUCUCGUUAAUCCAGGGCUUUGGUUACCAUGUUUCACUCGAGGGUCGCCAGUUAUCUGAUGCUCCAUGGUACAACAUUUCUUGCCAAAGUCUUCAGUUUCAACCAUCUUAUCGUCUUUGCUUUAACUGCACAUAUAAUAUUUUGUCUCUUCUCUCAUCUGAUGGGUGCCUUUGUUGUGUUAUUAAUGUUAGCCAAUCCUAGAGUUCAAGGAAGACAACACUGAUAUCAUUCAGCUCACUAUUGAGUGAGUUCUGACCCUGAUACUAAAAAAUGUUUUUGACUUCUUGUUGAUUUAGAUGCAUUUGUUUGCAAACGUAUAACGGUAAGCACAUGAAUUUGUUUAGUGCUCGAGAGGCAUCUUAUAACGGAGGAGGGAACAUUGUAUUUAAAGGAAGACUCGAAGGAGAUGUGUAUUUCACAGCAAGGCUCUUUAAACCUCUCCUUCACCUUUCUUCUUCCCCCAUCACAGUCUCCUACUCUGUAAGUCUUUGUUUUUAGAUACAUCACAUUACGAGAUCUUCUUGUUUUCUUUCUACUAAUGGAAAAUCUUGGAUUUGGUGCAGGUGAAAUCAGAUGAGACUUCUAAACUUGGACUCCUGCUUGGGUUUUCAUCACCAUCGCACCAAACUAAAUCCAUACUUGUGGCGCCACAAGAAACAACCCUAAGAUUAGAUCACAUGUUCUUGAAAUGCCUCGUCGCAUCAAAGCAGACUGUAUCCGAGUGGACGGUACACGAGACAAGCCUUGCCAUGGAUGGCUACACACUGACUGAAAUCUCUGCCUUUUGCUACAGAACAGAGAACUCGACGAAGACAUCAGAGUACGUUGCAUUGCUCGGUCACAUCUCAAUCAAAGAUCAUCAUGUUCAGCUACUCCAGCAAAACCUCGUUUCCUUACCUCCAGC